rnacentral:rRNA from 1 species
CCGGCGAGGGGAGUGAAAAAGAACCUGAAACCGUGUACGUACAAGCAGUGGGAGCACCCUUUUGGGUGUGACUGCGUACCUUUUGUAUAAUGGGUCAGCGACUUAUAUUCUGUAGCAAGGUUAACCGAAUAGGGGAGCCGGAGGGAAACCGAGUCUUAAUUGGGCGUUAAGUUGCAGGGUAUAGACCCGAAACCCGGUGAUCUAGCCAUGGGCAGGUUGAAGGUUGGGUAACACUAACUGGAGGACCGAACCGACUAAUGUUGAAAAA